AGCUUUGCACAGUGGCAGUAUCAUAGCCAAUGAGGUUUAUCUGAGGCACUAUUUUUGCUAACUGAAAAAAUUCUAGAGGCGGGGUACCUGGGUGGCUCAGGUGGUUAAGUGUCCAACUUCAGCUUAGGACACGAUCUCAUGGUU
ensembl:snRNA U4 U4 spliceosomal RNA